AUUAGGAAAUUUCUUACGCGGCUCCAGGGCGACGAAACCCCCCACCCCCCACCAAAAGAAUCCAUAGACGACGACGGAACAAAUCGUUUUCAUAUCUCAAAUCGACGUCGCCAUUCGGCACUCUCUAGUCUCUGCAGCUGCUUCAUUCAAAAUUGGAACAAAAAAAAAAAUCACUGAAUUAAUCAAACUAUUGAUUUUACUUUAGCUCCAAGUAUUGAUUUUCUGUAUAAAAUUUCUGGUUAUUGUUGCCGAUGAUAUGAUUAAACUAAAAAUUAUUUCUGUUUAACGACUUGUCAAAUGUAUAUUAUUUCCAUAUAAUAGCAGAACUGAAUUAUUUAUUUACAGGAAGCUUAGACUGUUGCGUUUGGGAUUAUAAAUUUUACUUUGAUUUUGUCUGUUUAUUUGUUUGUUUAUUUUCUUGUUUCGGCCGCGUUUUAAUUGGGAGCAGGAAUUGGGUCCUCUUGAUAUUUGUAGAUUUGAUUCGAGUAUCAUUUUAAUUUGAAAUUGAAAGCUAUUUUCUACUCUGAAUCGCGAUUGUUAUGUAAUUGUCCGAGUAAGAAGAGGGUUUAACUUCGUUGGUGAAUUUUGUAUACAACUUUGGGUAGAAAUUAGGGCUUUUGAAUUGGGUUCUUAGGUUUUUGUAGGGGGUGGUUGAUUGCUUGUUGGAGUGAACUAUACGAGAGGCCAAAAAACAGCUGAUUUUUCUUAUUGAGUGUUGUCCAAGAACGAGUGUUUAUUGGGUUCUUUUGUUUUGAUGUGAUUUGAGAGGCUUUUAGUCUGAAUUCAAUGAUUGUGAGUUGGUUUUCUUUCUUUUUGUCAAUUCGGCGCUUGUGGAAUCCUCCUGAAGGUUAGAAGGGUUUGACUUUACCGGAAUAGAGAUGGCGGCUCAUCUAAGAUUUUGCAAUUGAAUAUUAUAGGGGAACUGAAAAUUUUCCUAUUCAAUCUUGGAGAUUUUAAUUGUUGCGGUUUCGAUUAGAGAUUGAAAUGUAGGAUGGAUAAAUCUCAGGGCAGUUCCAAUUCGCUGCCUUCUUUCCUUUCAAAGACAUAUGAGAUGGUGGAUGAUCCUUCAACAGAUUCAGUCGUUUCAUGGAGUCAGAGCAAUAAAAGCUUUAUUGUAUGGAAUCCACCAGAGUUUGCGAGGGAUUUGCUUCCAAAAUUCUUUAAGCACAAUAACUUCUCAAGCUUCAUCAGGCAGCUCAACACAUAUGGUUUUAGAAAGAUUGAUCCAGAACAAUGGGAAUUUGCCAAUGAAGAUUUUAUACGGGGUCAACCACACCUUAUGAAGAAAAUUCAUAGACGGAAGCCAGUUCACAGCCAUUCUGUGCAAAAUGAAAAUAUCCACGGACGGGGAUCUAAUCCAUUAACCGAUUCAGAAAGACAGAGUUUGAAGGUUUACAUAGAGAGGCUUGAAGAAGAGAAAAAAGUUCUUAUCUUGGAGUUACAGAGGCAUGAACAGGAGAGGCAAGGAUUUGAGAUGCAAGUGCAGGCAUUGAAGGUUAAAUUGCAACAGAUGGAGAAAAGGCAGCAAACUUUGGUGUCUUGUAUGGCCCAAGUCUUGCAGAAACCUGGGCUUGCUAUAAAUCUCAUGUCACAGUUGGAGCCAGGCCAUGAUAGAAAGAGAAGGUUGCCAAGAAUUGGAUAUUUCUCUAAUGAGGCCAGCAUUGAGGAUAAUCAUAUGGUGACUUGUCAAACUCACGCCGGAGAAAAUGCGGAUAGUAAUUCUGUUGCACAGACAAACAUGGAGCAGUUUGAGCAAUUGGAGUCAUCUUUGACAUUUUGGGAGAGUAUCCUAAAUGAUGUCCAAAUCAACGCUCAAAUUAAUUCAACCUUAGAGUUGGAUGAAUCCACAAGUUGUGCUGAAAGCCCCGCCGUAUCUUGUGUACAAUUUAUUGUUGAUGUUCGGCCCAAAUCUCCUUCAAUUGACAUGAAUUCUGAGCCCGCUGUAGCUUCAGCCACAGAUUCUGUUCCUCCGAGGGAACAUGCACCUGGGCCUGCUCCUUCUGCAGCAGCUGGGGUCAAUGAUGUAUUCUGGGAACAGUUUUUGACUGAGAAUCCUGGUUCAACUGACAAACAGGAAGUUCAAUAUGAAAGAAAGGAUUCUGGUGGUAGAAAACAUGAGAUCAAACCCAGUGAUCAGGGACAGUUUUGGUGGAAUAUGAGGAAUGUAAAUAAUAUUGCAAAACAGAUGGGACAUCUUACUCCUGCAGAGAGAACCUGAAAUUUGCUUGAGCGGUUUUUAUCUUUUGAUGAUCUGAGCCUCACAUGUAAUAAAUUAGGUUUUGACAUCUACCAUACUCAGGGAGGAAAUAUGUCAGUCACCUUUAACGAUGAAAAUGAUUUUGGUACCUAAUUCAACAAUACUUUCAGAAGCUCCUCCUUUCUAUUUAUGUGUUAUGCCAGGGAACUGGGUGACUGCCAUGGAAAUUUCUUUUUUGCUCCGAGAUCUCAUCUAGUGGGAGAAUUGUGAAAGCACAUACUGCCAGUCGUGGGAUUGUUUGCUUGCUUGGGAUCCUAUCGUUGAACUGGAUGGGCAUGCAUACGUGGUAGAUAAAACCAAAUUCCAAUGACCUUUUGGUUUGGUCUCUUUUUUUUUUUUUUAUUCCUAUCUGGUCAUUUUAUUUGAUUUUGUGCAUCUUCCUGAUGAACUGAAGGCUCUGAAAUCCAAAAUUGAUGCCUUUCCAACUGAUUCUUGCUCUGUCUGAGUUUCCAUGCCAGCGUAUUUGUCACCUUCUAUCCUCUAAAUGAUUUCAAAAUGAUAUAAAGGUCAUGCUUUAGGCUUUAGCAAAGCAGCAUAGUACUUGAUAAUAAAUGAUAGGCGAAAAAUUGGCCUCA